rnacentral:rRNA from 1 species
GAUGAACGCUGGCGGCGUGCCUAAUACAUGCAAGUCGAGCGAACAGACGAGGAGCUUGCUCCUCUGACGUUAGCGGCGGACGGGUGAGUAACACGUGGAUAACCUACCUAUAAGACUGGGAUAACUUCGGGAAACCGGAGCUAAUACCGGAUAAUAUAUUGAACCGCAUGGUUCAAUAGUGAAUGACGGUUUUGCUGUCACUUAUAGAUGGAUCCGCGCCGCAUUAGCUAGUUGGUAAGGUAACGGCUUACCAAGGCAACGAUGCGUAGCCGACCUGAGAGGGUGAUCGGCCACACUGGAACUGAGACACGGUCCAGACUCCUACGGGAGGCAGCAGUAGGGAUUCUUCCGCAAUGGGCGAAAGCCUGACGGAGCAACGCCGCGUGAGUGAUGAAGGUCUUCGGAUCGUAAAACUCUGUUAUUAGGGAAGAACAAAUGUGUAAGUAACUAUGCACGUCUUGACGGUACCUAAUCAGAAAGCCACGGCUAACUACGUG